rnacentral:lncRNA from 1 species
AAUUACUUAAUUGAUUAAUACUUUUAUUACAUUAGUUUUUUACCGUUUAUUUAAAAAGAAGUAUGAAUAUACAUGUGUAUAGAAACUAGUUUAUUAAUUCAUAAAAUUAAGUUUAUAUUAAAUUGUUUUAAUAUAUGUGUAUAUAUGUAUAUGUUAAUUUAUUAAAUUGGGAUAGUUAAAUUCAUACACCAUAAUUUUAAUUUAAACUGUAAUAUAAUUUAAUAAAAUACAAAUUUUACAUUCAUAUAAUUAAUUAUAAUAAUAUAUAACAUAAAAGAAUAAAGAAAUGCAUUAAAGGAGGAGAGUGUAGACAUAAAUAAAAUGUAUCAUUUUGGAUGGAUAUAAAUGAUAUGUAAUCCACACCAAAUUACCUCUAAAUAAUAGCAUUUUGUGAGUUUUAUAAAUUAUACACAUAUCCGUAGAAAUUCUACCCAAAUUAGAGAGCGGAAAUUUUAGUAUAGUUUUAUAUUCUUCUCUAUUUCCAUGUUGUUGUGGUACUCCAUUUUUAGUGUAUAUAUCAUUUUUCUUAAUAAACACUGUAUAUCAUAAUUAAUUAUUGUUGUUAUUUAAUGAUUUUUUAUUUCAAAAAUAAAAAAUAUUAAAAAAAAACUUUAAAAAAUGUAUAUAUAGAUUUUGCUAUAUUUUAUAAUAGUUUUAAUAUUUUACUAUUUAAAAAAAUGUCAUGAUAAUAUGGAAAUAAGAAAUAUGAGUGAUUCAUUCUCUCUCAUAUUUAAUUUUUAUAUUAUUUUACAGUUAAAUUAUAAAAGUAUCUCUGAAUUUUACAAUCUGUGUCUGGAACGCCUUCAAAGUUUUAAAAAUAUUCUUUAAUUUUUAAUACGAGUUAAAAAAUACACCUACCAUUAGUUUUGAAUGGAAAAUGUUUUUGCAUACAAAAUACCUCUAAAUUUUUAAAAGUUUCAAAAAAAAUACUGUUAAUUUAAUAAAAGUUAAAAAAUACCUUGAUUGUUAGUAUUUUAACAAAAACUUUUAUUUUCUGCUCAUACCAUUAACAUGGUGAUCAAUUUGUUUGAGUUUUCUUAAAUUUAAAAAGAACCAAUUUUAAUUUAAAUUGUAGAGCUAUUUUCAUUUUUUUUUAUAUACAAGACAGUCCAUUUUUUUUAUACACAGACGGUCCUUUUUCUUGAUUUUUGAAUUCUUGGUUAGCUUACACAAGUUUUUUAAACAAUCAAAAUAAAAUUGAUUUUUCAAUUCUUGGUUAGCUUACGCAAGUUUUCUAAACAAUCAAAAUAAAAACUAAAAUUUUAAGUUAAAACAUAAAAUUCUACGAAAUUUUACAAAAUUCUAAAAUCAAAAUCUCCUCUAUCGUAUCAAAACGAUAAAUAGUCACGUCAAAAACUAUUUUAUUACUGACAUACGUUCAACUACUAGUGUAUAAAAUGAUAGAACUAAGUCAUGCACAGCGGAAAAGAAUCGAAUUUCUACCCUAAUUGCCACAAUUAACAUAUAACCAUAAACUAAUCAAAUUAAGGUUUUAAGAAAUAUUACCUUUGAAGCUUUCAAAAGGUUUGAUGUCUUCUUACCAAUUCUACCCGAGACCACCACUAGUACUCAACUGCUAUCCUCUAGACAAAGAACCGGGUUGUGGGACCCAAUUUUGUGUGUAGAAAGUAAUGGAGAUAAAAUGAGAUUGGAAGCUUUCUUUUUUCUUUUGUUGAGAUGAUGAAAAUGAUAAAAGAGGCAAAAGUCCUUCAACAUUUGAAAACAUCUCUAUUUAUAGCCUAAUUACAUGCAAAAAUGCAUGCAAUUCAAUUGCCAAAUCUCAACACCUAAUAUUCCACUAACAAUUAGUGGAACUUAGUGGGCUAGGUGUCUAUAUCUCAUAUAGCCACAUAUCCCACUAAGAGUUAGUGGGAUUAUCCAACAAAACUAACUUAGUCCAAGGGUAAAAUGGUCAUUAGAUUUUUCUAGUCAAAAGUCAAACUUUGACUUUUCUUAGUCAAAAGUCAAUAUUUUGACUUUUUACCAUUUUGUCCGUCUUGACUAAUUCCAACCUCCCGAGCAUGAAUCCGCAUUCAUUUUUCCAAAAUUCAAAUCACAUUUGAAUAUAAGGCCGGUCAAAGUUUGACUUUUCAAAGUCAAAAGUCAACAUUUUGACUUUUUACUAUUUUUGACCAAUUCCGAGCUUCUUAGUAUGAAUCCGCAUUCAUACUUAUAGUAUGUAAAACAUAAAGCUCUAUUUCUAAUUAGAAGACCGACGACUAUAUCACUGUAUUAUAGUCGGUUUCCCUUUCUUCUCCCAAUUCGAACAAUUCGACUUAUUUCAUCACACUGUUCUAAGUUUAAUCCAUAUGAGCUAGCAGAGGAACCUAAUGGACCUAUAGAUCAUGGGCUCCAACGAUUCAAGAUUAACUAGCUAAACUCUUUUAAACCGAGUUAAUCAACAUUCGUUAACUAACGGGUCAUUCCACUAAAGUCCCGUAGUUGCACUCCCCUCACUAUAGAUAUAUUUGUGUCCAUUUGAUAAAACCAUAAUCAGUAAGUUAAUCCUUCACAGGUUGCUCGUAACCUUGGCUGGGUCAAAAUACCGUUUUACCCCCAAGAUUACAUCUUGCUCCUUAAGUCCCACUAAUCCACUAUUGAACAAUUGGUUUAAGGUUCAACCUAUAAACUUAAUCCCUCUCGGGCCAAUGAGAGGGUGGGGCCCCUUGUUCAAGACUUGGAUUCAGUGCUUAAGAGAGCAACCUAUCUACUAACCCUAAAGCGGGUAGGAGUGAAUUCCAUCUUGUACCCUAUGUUCCCAGCUAUCCACCCGAUCUUACCCCUGAAAUGGGAGGCUUAUUGGGCCAACGCUGAUGAGCUGCCCUCACCUAUGCAGAUCUAAGGAUAAUCUCGUCUGAACAGGAGUUCAUAGUUAACUCAGGAUUAAGACUAAGUUACCUAGGUCAUCAAUAAUUGAGAUAGUCAGUUUUAAACAGUAAACGGUGUUAUAACGUAAAAAUGACUAAUUCAUGGUUCAGUCUUAUGUAAACAUUUUACAUAGGAUGCCCCCACUUUCAUGUCUCUACAUGAACGAUUAGGAUCACCUCGUUUGUACUACAAAGUGGGCCGCAUCCAUAGUUUCUCUAAAUAAGGCGCCCAACCUUUAUUUCAUAUACUAUAGACUAUUUAGGCUAUAUACUCGAACUUGAUCCACGUUUAUGUUUACACAUAAAGUUCAAGUUUAUUAAAAAAUAGCCUUGGAACUUGAUUUAUUGGAUUUAAGAUUAUAAUAUUUAAUUUCUCAAUAACAACUUUAUUGAACAGAAUAUGAUUUACAAACUACGAGUUUUAGGACAAAAAAUUCCAACAAACUCCCACUUGGACUAAAAUUCCUAGUGGUAUGAGAGAUGUGGUGUGUGAGAGAAUAUAAAACUAGGGCACAUGGCCAAUAAGUCUCCCACUUGUCCUAGUUUACAAACAUCGUAGACCUAAACUGUGUAGGUGACCCUCAAACACUUUAGCCGUGAGAGCUUUUGUAAAAGGAUCAGCAAUGUUUUGCUGAGAAGAAAUCUGGGUUACUACAACGUCACCACGAUGUACAAUUUCCCUGAUAAGAUGGUACUUGCGUUCAAUAUGCUUUCCUCUUUUAUGGCUUCUAGGUUCUCUUGAAUUUGCAACUGCACCACUGUUGUCACAGUAUAAAGUGAUUGGUAGAUGCAUAUUUGGAACGACUUCCAAAUCUGUCAAGAAUUUUCUUAGCCAUACUGCUUCUUUUGCUGCUUCACAAGCCGCUACGUAUUCAGCUUCCAUUGUGGAAUCAGCUAUACAAGUUUGCUUUAUGCUUCUCCAAACUACUGCUCCUCCAUUUAGAGUAAAUACUGAUCCUGAUGUAGACUUUCUAGCAUCUUUAUCAGUUUGGAAAUCUGAAUCAGUGUAUCCAGUAAGGAUCAGAUCCUUUGUACCAUACAUGAGCAUGUAGUCUUUUGUUCUUCGAAGAUAUUUUAGAAUGUUUUUAACGGCUGUCCAGUGAUCACGUCCAGGAUUGGAUUGAUACCUACUGACCAUCCCUACUGAGUAGCAAAUGUCAGGUCUAGUACAUAACAUUGCAUACAUUAAACUUCCAACAGCGGAAGCAUAGGGAAUAUUUCUCAUAUCCUCAACUUCUUGAGGUGUCUUAGGACAUUGUUCCUUUGACAAAUGAAUUCCAUAUCUGUACGGCAGCAGACCCUUUUUGGAAUUCUGCAUUUUAUAUCUAGACAACAUUUUGUCUAUGUAAGAUGCUUGAGACAUGGCUAGUGUUUUGUUCUUACGGUUUCGAACAAUUUGGAUUCCCGAGAACGUAUUGUGCAUCUCCCAGAUCUUUCAUUUGAAAUUGCAUAGCUAGCCAUUUCUUGAUAUCAGUAAGAUAUCCUACGUCAUUUCCAAUAAGUAGAAUAUCAUCUACAUAUAAGACUAAAAAUGCUAUAAUGGAAUUGACGACCUUUUUGUAAACACAAGGCUCGUCAACAUUUUGUUCAAAGCCAUAAGAUUUGAUCGCAGUAUCAAAUCUUAUAUUCCAGGAUCUAGAAGCUUGUUUUAAUCCAUAAAUGGAUUUUUUAAGCUUACAAACCUUUUGUUCUUGAUCUUGUUCUAUAAACCCCUCUGGUUGAGACAUAUAGAUACUCUCUUCAAGAUUACCAUUCAAAAAAGCUGUCUUGACAUCCAUCUGCCAAAUUUCAUAAUCAUAAAAAGUGGCGAUGGAUAAGAGUAUUCUAAUUGACUUUAACAUGGCAACAGGAGAGAAAGUUUCCUCAUAGUCUACUCCCUCUCUCUGGGUAUAACCCUUUGCCACAAGUCGAGCCUUGAAAGUCUGUACUUUACCGGCAUGGUCUCGUUUUCUCUUGUAGAUCCAUUUACAACCAAUAGGUUUUACGUCAUUUGGUUGAUCUACUAGAGUCCAGACAGAAUUAAAGUACAUAGACUCCAUUUCGAGGUCCAUGGCUUUGAUCCAUUGGUCACGAUCUACAUCUUUCAUUGCCUGUUUAUAGGUUAAUGGAUCCUCUAUGCCAUCGUCAGGUAUGACGACUUGAGUUUCAAUUAAACCCAAAUAGCGAUCAGGCUGAUGAACAACCCUCCCACUACGUCGAGGCUCUCUCAACUGUUGAGAAGGAUGUGAUUGUCCAGAUUUCCUAGUCUUAUCAACUACCUUAGUGGAUGAACUAGGUUUAUCUAUAGCACUUUUGGAAAUUUCUUUUAAUACUAGUUUACUACGAGGUUGAUGAUCCCUGAUGUGGUCUUCCUCUAAGAAUGUGGCAUUUGUUGACACAAAUAUUUUAUUUUCUUGAGGAUCAUAAAACAAACCACCUCUUGAUUCUUUUGGAUAACCUAUAAAAAAGCAUAAUUUUGAACGAUGUUCCAAUUUCUUUGGAUUUUGUACCAACACGUGUGCUGGACAACCCCAAAUUCUAAAAUGACGUAAACUGCCUUUACGCCCUUUCCAUAGCUCAUAAGGUGUUUCUGAAACACUUUUAGAGGGAACAUUAUUCAAAAUAUAAGCAGCUGUUUCUAAAGCAUAUCCCCAAAAAGAAUCUGACAUCUGAGAAAAACUUAUCAUAGAGCGAACCAUGUCUAACAAGGUCCGGUUUCUUCUUUCUGAUACACCGUUCUGUUGAGGUGUACUAGGUGCAGAGAGUUGUGACUGGAUUCCAUUUUCUAUUAAAUAGUCUCGGAAUCGUAAGUCCAUAUACUCUCCACCUCGAUCUGAUCGAAGUAUUUUUAUUGUUUUACCUAAUUCGUUUUCUACUUCAGCCUUAUAUUCUUUGAACUUUUCAAGACUAUUAGACUUAUGAUGUAUUAGGUAAAUAUGACCAUACCUUGAAUAAUCAUCAAUGAAGCUAAUGAAAUAUUCAUAUCCACCUCGAGCUUUGACAUUCAUUGGUCCACAAAGGUCCGAAUGUACGAGCUCUAAGGGUCCUUUGGCUCUUAGACCUUUUCCAGUAAAAGAUCUCUUGGUCAUUUUUCCUUCAAGACAAGAUUCACAAGGAGGUAAAGAGUUAUCUUCUAACGGACUUAGAAGCCCACUUUUAACCAAUCUCCCAAUCCUAUUGAGAUUUAUGUGACCAAGUCUUAAGUGCCAUAAAUAGGCAUUAGAAGAAACUUUUUGUCUUUUAUUCUGAGUUUCAGCUGUUCUGAAUAUUUCAGUAUUUAAGACAAAAUUUGCUCUAGUUGGUCUUAACUUAUAUAAGUUGUCUUCAAGUAUAGCAGAACAAACUAGAAUACCUUUAUAGAAAACGAACGCUUCAUUAAUUUCAAAAGAUAUUCUAUACAUUUGUUCCAAAAUACAAGAGAUAGAUAUUAAAUUUCUUUUCAUUUGAGGUACAUAUAAGACAUUCUUAAGUAUGACAUAUCUAUCUCUAAAAAACAACUUUAAAUCUCCCACUGCUGAAGCUGAGACCAUCUCUCCUGUUCCAACCUUGAGAGUGAUCUCGCCUUCUGAAAGCUUUUUCCAAGAACUAUUUUCCUGAAAUGAGAAGCAAAUAUGGUUAGUGGCUCCUGAAUCUAGUAUCCAGGUACAAUUUUCAUAUUCCACUAAACAUGUUUCUACAACUAGUAAAUCAUAUUUACCUUGUGUUUCCUUCUCUGCCUUUUUUUCUGCAAGGUAUUUUGGGCAGUUUCUUAACCAGUGCCCGUUUUGGCCACAAUGGUAACACUUACCUUUUUCUGCAGCUUUCUUACCCUUGUUCUGUUUGGGAGUCUUUCCCUUUCCCUUCUUUUUUAUUUGAGCAUUAGGUUUUGAGGGUCCAGCUUUGGUUUUAGAGGACGAUCCUCUUAUAAAUUUUCUUUUUGUGGUAGCAACAUUUGCUUCCACUUGUUUUCCUUUACCCAUAGUUAGGUUUUGGAAUCGCUGGAGUUCAUUCAGAAGGGUUGUCAAGUUAAAUUCUAUCUUGUUCAAAGACGCAUUCGUUUGGAAUGGAAUGAAGCUCUUCGGAAGAGACUCUAAGAUAAAACUAACUUGAUUAACCUCUUCGAUGGGACCACCAUUCACUUCAGCGAUGUUGAAGUGCAUCAUCAUGUCCAGAACAUGUUCUCUAACAGAGGUCCCUUCCUUCAUACGCUUAGUGUAAAUGUAUUUGACUGCCUCGUGUCUUAAGGACCAUUCUGGUUGCCCAAACAUUCCCCUUAAUGAAUCCAUAAUCUCUUUAGCCGUGGCUAAGGAUUCAUGUUUCUUUGCCAAUACAUCAGACAUGCUGGCAAGAAUGUAGACACGGGCUUUUUCAUUAGCUUUUAUCCAUCGAUCAUAUGCAUCCCGACUAGUUCGGUUAGCAUUAGAGGCAGGGUUUUGAGGACAUUCCUCAGUUAAGACAAAUCUUAAAUCGUCAACCACUAGUAUUGUGUUAAGAUUUGAUUUCCAAGCCGCAUAAUUAUCGCCAUUAAGUUUUUCGGAAGCUAAAAGUUGAACUAUUGAGCUAUUCAUGCUGAAUAAUCAUAAAAAAUAUCCAAUCUAAUAAUGUAUCCUUUUCAUUAUUUAUAUUUUGCAACAAUAUUUCAAAGGUUUAGAAUAACCUUCUCCGAAGGGUAGUUGAUUAUUCCUCCUUUGAACCAAGACAAUCUUGACUAGAUGCUAUCUCUAGAAUAACUGCUUUAUUCUUUAUAGCACUUAGUUAUCGCUACUUUAGUCAAGAAUAUACUAACAACUUAGUAAUUCUUGUAAGUGUUACCCACCAUUUUCAGAUAUCAUAGAUUUAGAAUCAUUUAUGAAAACUAAUCUAAGAAAACCUAUCCAGAUUUGGAGUUCGCGGUGUUCCGAAUCCUAUAAUACAACCCUCCGAAGGGAACGUCGCUCCAGGGCAGACAAGCAGGCAUAUUAUAGAAAUCUCACGGUGCGACCUAAUGGAAGAGACCGUGGGAUGUGCUGCCACAAAUCCCUCACCCACUUACUAUGAACUACUUCCCCUAUUCACCUUGAUUUUGAUCCAUGCAAACACUCUCCGAAGGGAGGCCGCUCCUAUGCACGGCACAAAGCCCUGCAUGGACCUCACGGUGUGAACUCUUAGGGACACUAGAGCUAAAAUACAUUAUUUUUCUCUAGUUGAAGUGUUCUAAAAAAAAAAAAAAAACUAGGGUAAUCCAAUCUUCAAGAUUUAUAUUUAGGCUAACUUAAACAAAUCUUAAGUCUAGAUAAAACAUCCAAGUAUAACCAUUAUACAGGAUUUUAACCUAUGAUGUCUAGGUGAUAAACCAUUUUUAUUACCUCACACCUCUCACGAAUGCUCAUAAAACUAGGUUAACUAGGCUCAAGAACUGAUUACGAUCUCCAGGUAGGAGGUGUUCCGUAAACCGUCAACUUAAGAACCUCCAACCUUAGUCAUCUUAUCUGACUUGUUGACAAGAUUGAACCAGGUGAGCCUUUUGUAACCAGUUUUACAAGAUAUCGACCUAUUUCUAUGAAAAAUGGAAGAUAUGUUUAACCUAAGUGAGCAUGCAUUUAAUCUUUGUUAUUGAUUUUAAAAGUCUAAUUUAUUUUAUAACACUUAUAAAAACUUUUAAACUUAAUCAAUCAUUUUAUCAAUAUAUAACCUUAUAAAAACAAUCAAUUAAUAUGGAUUUUAAUUUAUUUAACUUUAAUUAAAUCAUAUUUAAUUAAAUUAAAUCAAACAAUAAUUAAUUAAUUUGAUUAAAUCAUAUUUAAUCAAGAAUAACUUAAUUAAUUAAAUAAUUAAUUACCAUAUUAAUUAAUUAACAUGCAUACAAUACAAUAUAACAUUUAUAUCAUACAUUUUAAUGCAUGAACAUGUUAACCUAUGGUGGGAUUUUAAAUCUAUAUGACAUUCAAAAUGCACAUACAAAUUUAAAGUAAUUUAAUCAUACAUCACAUGCAUAAAUAAAAAAAAACACCCUAAAAUGGACUGAUUUUUGGCUCCUAAAUUAAGCUAAGUACUAAAUUAUUACAUAAUUACUUUGGUGUAGUACAGAACCACUCCCAAAAACUUCGAACCGGCUGAAAAACCAACCGAAACCGCUUGAACCGGCCCAAAAACCAAAUUUAUUGGCUUGAACCGGCCCAGGCGCACACGGGUCGGGCGAAGGCAGGCGCGCGGGCACAGGCGCGGCGCACGGGCGCAUGCGGCGCAGCGCGCGGGCGUGCGGGUCGCGAAGCGGGUCAAGGCCGGGUUUUCGGGUCUGUGACCUUCUUUUCUUCAUUUUUUUCAAUUCUCUCACCCGGUUGAACCAAUUACAGCCUGUCUUCAACUCUAAUGACUUUUUUUUAUUUUUUUAAAAAUUACAAACACUUUGCAACAAUAAAAAUAAGCCAUUAACAAGGCUAAUUACAAUAAUUAGAACAAAAACACUUAAUCUAGAGCCAAAAUCAUAAUAUAUCCAUUUUAGUUCAAACCAAAAUUUAUCUAAUAAAUAUGAACCCACCACAUGCAAUUGGGUAAAAAUGAAGCAUGCUCUGAUACCACAUGAUAGAACUAAGUCAUGCACAGCGGAAAAAGAAUCGAAUUUCUACCCUAAUUGCCACAAUUAACAUGUAACCAUAAACUAAUCAAAUUAGGGUUUUAAGAAAUAUUACCUUUGAAGCUUUCAAAAGGUUUGAUAUCUUCUUACCAAUUCUAACCGAGACCACCACUAGUACUCAACUGCUAUCCUCUAGACAAAGAACCGGGUUGUGGGACCCAAUUUUGGUGUAGAAAGUAAUGGAGAUAAAAUGAGAUUGGAAGCUUUUUUUUUUCUUUUGUUGAGAUGAUGAAAAUGAUAAAAGAGGCAAAAGUUUCAACAUUUGAAAACACCUCUAUUUAUAGCCUAAUUACAUGCAAAAAUGCAUGCAAUUCAUUUGCCAAAUCUCAACACCUAAUGUUCCACUAACAAUUAGUGGAACUUAGUGGGCUAGGUGUCUAUAUCUUAUAUAGCCACAUAUCCCACUAAGAGUUAGUGGGAUUAUCCAACAAAAUAUUGGAUUUUCCCACUAACUUAGUCCAAGGGUAAAAUGGUCAUUAGAUAUUUCUAGUCAAAAGUCAAACUUUGACUUUUCUUAGUCAAAAGUCAAUAUUUUGACUUUUUACCAUUUUGUCCGUCUUGACUAAUUCCAACCUCCCGAGCAUGAAUCCGCAUUCAUUUUUCCAAAAUUCAAAUCACAUUUGAAUAUAAGGCCGGUCAAAGUUUGACUUUUCAAAGUCAAAAGUCAACAUUUUGACUUUUUACUAUUUUUGACCAAUUCCGAGCUUCUUAGUAUGAAUCCGCAUUCAUACUUAUAGUAUGUAAAACAUAAAGCUCUAUUUCUAAUUAGAAGACCGACGACUAUAUCACUGUAUAUGUCGGUUUCCCUUUCUUCUCCCAAUUCGAACAAUUCGACUUAUUUCAUCACACUGUUCUAAGUUUAAUCCAUAUGAGCUAGCAGAGGAACCUAAUGGACCUAUAGAUCAUGGGCUCCAACGAUUCAAGAUUAACUAGCUAAACUCUUUUAAACCGAGUUAAUCAACAUUCGUUAACUAACGGGUCAUUCCACUAAAGUCCCGUAGUUGCACUCCCCUCACUAUAGAUAUAUUUGUGUCCAUUUGAUAAAACCAUAAUCAGUAAGUUAAUCCUUCACAGGUUGCUCGUAACCUUGGCUGGGUCAAAAUACCGUUUUACCCCCAAGAUUACAUCUUGCUCCUUAAGUCCCACUAAUCCACUAUUGAACAAUUGGUUUAAGGUUCAACCUAUAAACUUAAUCCCUCUCGGGCCAAUGAGAGGGUGGGGCCCCUUGUUCAAGACUUGGAUUCAG